rnacentral:rRNA from 1 species
CUACGGAGGGUGCGAGCGUUAAUCGGAAUUACUGGGCGUAAAGCGUGCGUAGGCGGUUUGCUAAGUCAGAUGUGAAAGCCCCGGGCUUAACCUGGGAACUGCAUUUGAUACUGGCAGACUAGAGUAUGAUAGAGGGGGGUAGAAUUCCUGGUGUAGCGGUGAAAUGCGUAGAUAUCAGGAGGAAUACCAGUGGCGAAGGCGGCCCCCUGGAUCAAUACUGACGCUGAGGUACGAAAGCGUGGGGAGCGAACAGGAUUAGAUACCCCAGUAGUCC